rnacentral:rRNA from 1 species
AGCGAACGUUUGCGGCGGGCCUAACACAUGCAAGUCGAACGGGCAGGGGCAACCCUGUCAGUGGCGCACGGGUGCGUAACACGUGGGUAAUCAACCCUUUGGACUGGGACAACCCGGGGAAACUCGGGCUAAUACCGGAUGUGGCAUGUCGGUCUUCGGGCUGACAUGCGAAAGCCUCGCAAGGGGCACCAGAGGACGAGCCCGCGGCCCAUCAGCUAGUUGGUGAGGUAAUGGCUCACCAAGGCGAAGACGGGUAGCUGGUCUGAGAGGAUGAUCAGCCACACUGGAACUGAGACACGGUCCAGACUCCUACGGGAGGCAGCAGUGGGGAAUAUUGCGCAAUGGGCGAAAGCCUGACGCAGCCACGCCGCGUGAGCGAUGAAGGACUUCGGUCGUAAAGCUCUGUGGGGGAGAAGAAUCAAGCCGGUGAAGAGCCGGCCCUGACGGUAUCCCUUUAGCAAGCACCGGCUAACUCCGUGCCAG